rnacentral:tRNA from 1 species
CCGCCCGUAGCUCAGUCGGUAGAGCACCUGCCUUUUAAGCAGAGGGUCGUUGGUUCGAGUCCAACCGGGCGGA